AUUUAUGGCUUUGAAGUUUGCCGCUACCCAAUCAUCAAAGAAUAGCGGCUCUUUCAGAAGCGAAAGCAAAUCCUUUGAAUCCACAAAGCUCCUAUGAGAAAUCUGCCUGCGGAUUCCGCUGUUAGAGUUUGAUGACUCAAAGUAACAAUACAAACACAGCAAGUUCACCUGAGCGGGGUUGGUAGAUCGCAGCUGGAAAACUUCCCUACAGUUUUUUUCUCUCUCUCCUGAAGCUGAGAAAAGCGAACUCCAUAAACGCACACUUUUUUCGCUCUGCUCUUCCUGAAACCAGCACCAAUCUGUGCUCCCUGUGUUUUCUGUAAUUACUGUGGCGCUGGGCUCAAGCCAGAGGUCGAUGUAGUAGAGUUAAAAUAGGUUCUUUCGUCACGUGCAAUCGGUAUUAAAACUUAAAGCCUG